rnacentral:piRNA from 1 species
UAGGGCAACAAUGAAGGAGGACCCAGCCA